rnacentral:rRNA from 1 species
AUACGGAGGGUGCAAGCGUUAUCCGGAUUUAUUGGGUUUAAAGGGUGCGUAGGCGGAUCGGUCAGUCAGUGGUGAAAUCCCAUAGCUGAACUAUGGAACUGCCAUUGAUACUGCCAAUCUCGAGUAUAGUUGAAGUGGAUGGAAUGUAACAUGUAGCGGUGAAAUGCAUAGAUAUGUUACAGAACACCGAUUGCGAAGGCAGUUCACUAAACUAUUACUGACGCUGAGGCACGAAAGCGUGGGGAGCGAACAGGAUUAGAAACCCUAGUAGUCC